rnacentral:RNase_P_RNA from 1 species
AAAGUUCGACAGACAAUCGCUGGCGGCUUCGCGCCGCGAGAGGAAAGUCCGGGCUCCACAGGGCAGGAUGCUGGAUAACGUCCAGUCAGCGCGAGCUGAAGGAUAGUGCCACAGAAAUGGACCGCCGAUGGCCGCUCGCGAGAGCGGAUCAGGCAAGGAUGGAACCGUGGUGUAAGAGACCACGAGGGGCACUGGCGACUUUGCCCCUGGUAAACCCCAUCUGGAGCAAGACCGAAGAGGAACGCAGCGGCUCUCGAGGCCGCAGCCCUAGCCCGGGGCGCGUUCGGGUUGGUCGCUUGAGCCGUGCGGCAACGUACGGCCUAGAAAGAUGAUUGUCGCUUCCAUCCGUGGGAGGACCGCCAGGUCCGCGACGACCACCGGAAGUACAGAACCCGGCUUACGGCGAGCUUUCCGU